UGUAAUUUUUGAAAUACGCACGCUUGUUCGAAUGCUCUUCUAACGGCCCGCCUCCCCCAUCCCGCUCCCGAUCUCGAGAAGUCCGCCAACGCCGCCCCGGGGCCGGCGAGAGGGAAACGAUGACCGGCACGGCAGAUUCCUCAUGGCCUCGAGGAAGUGGAUCGCCACCUUUCGUAGGCCAAAACAAAUCUUGAAGAGUGCCGACUUCAGUCGGUGGUCAAUGUGGUGGGAAAGCGCUAACAUUCUUGACUCCAUGGAGAACCUAUUCUGACCUCUACUGAGAAGACAAAGGAUGUUAAGCAAAUUGUAAAAAUUGGUUCUAGAAAUCCAACAAGUUCAUGCAUGACCCUUUUGCAUAUGAUUAUACAAUUGAAUUUGUUGCUAAGGUUGUUUAUAUCAAAACUUAAGAAUAAAUGAAGAAUUGUUAUGGUUUUUAUAAUCAAGAUAUUUUCUUGCCUUUCAGUUGAUGUUGUUGUAUUAUCGUUCACUUUAGGCAAGGAAUGUUAGGAUUAUCUGAACCCCUCUCUCUACUUCUGACACAUGCCCAAAUGAAGAAAACAGGACUUUAGGUAUUUGGGAUCAUGUUCAAUAAUGUCCUUGUCUCAUGGACUUUGAAUGAAGAGGAGGAUCAAGGUCAAAUGGCUUCUGAGUUUAUCCUAUCUCCAGUCCUGUGUUUUGACAGCACUCGUUGGCGACAACUCUCGUAAAGCUCCCUUGUCCAAAUGAUGGAACUUUUUCUAUAGGAGCAGUCAGUAGCUUUGUGAUGUGUAGAUGAUGCCUUUUGCACCUCGUCCAAAGAACACCAACGAUGGUGUCCUACUUCCUAGUCUAUAUGUGAUGAUAUAUGCCAUGCACGCCUUGUCGUGGGUCCAUUCGCAUAUGCAUAUAUUAACCAUACGAAUGACAUGGUCAUCACUUCAUUGCAUGACCUUCCUGUCUCUUUGGACUACGUCGUUUGUAUUCUGUCAAGAUAUAAAUUCAAGUCAAGUAUUAAUCAUUAUGUCAUGAACUUUAUUUAUAUUUUAUUCUGAUUCUGC